rnacentral:rRNA from 1 species
GGCGGCCGCGGGAUUCGAUUAGAGUUUGAUCAUGGCUCAGGACGAACGCUGGCGGCGUGCCUAAUACAUGCAAGUCGAGCGGACAGAAGGGAGCUUGCUCCCGGAUGUUAGCGGCGGACGGGUGAGUAACACGUGGGUAACCUGCCUGUAAGACUGGGAUAACUCCGGGAAACCGGAGCUAAUACCGGAUAGUUCCUUGAACCGCAUGGUUCAAGGAUGAAAGACGGUUUCGGCUGUCACUUACAGAUGGACCCGCGGCGCAUUAGCUAGUUGGUGGGGUAAUGGCUCACCAAGGCGACGAUGCGUAGCCGACCUGAGAGGGUGAUCGGCCACACUGGGACUGAGACACGGCCCAGACUCCUACGGGAGGCAGCAGUAGGGAAUCUUCCGCAAUGGACGAAAGUCUGACGGAGCAACGCCGCGUGAGUGAUGAAGGUUUUCGGAUCGUAAAGCUCUGUUGUUAGGGAAGAACAAGUGCGAGAGUAACUGCUCGCGCCUUGACGGUACCUAACCAGAAAGCCACGGCUAACUACGUGCCAGCAGCCGCGGUAAUACGU